rnacentral:hammerhead_ribozyme from 1 species
AUCCAGCAAACAAGUCCCAAAUAGGACGAAAUGCGCGUUAUCCUGGAU